rnacentral:rRNA from 1 species
GAUGAACGCUAGCGACAGGCCUAACACAUGCAAGUCGAGGGGCAGCACAUGAGUAGCAAUACGAUGGUGGCGACCGGCGCACGGGUGAGUAACACGUAUGCAACCUGCCUUCUACUAUGGGGUAACCCGUUGAAAGACGGACUAAUACCGUAUAAUACAGGGGCUCCGCAUGGAGAUAUUUGUUAAAGAUUUAUUGGUAGAAGAUGGGCAUGCGUAUGAUUAGAUAGUUGGUGAGGUAACGGCUCACCAAGUCAACGAUCAUUAGGGGUUCUGAGAGGAAGGUCCCCCACACUAGUACUGAGACACGGACCAGACUCCUACGGGAGGCAGCAGUGAGGAAUAUUGGUCAAUGGACGAGAGUCUGAACCAGCCAAGUCGCGUGAAGGAAGACGGUUCUAUGAAUUGUAAACUUCUUUUGUGCAGGAAUAAAGUGGGUUACGUGUAACCUUUUGUAUGUACUGUACGAAUAAGGAUCGGCUAACUCCGUGCCAGCCGCCGCAGUAAAAC